CUGUCAAUAAAUCAUCCAGGAGCGCCAGCAAGAAGCAUUCUUCUAGAACUUCUGUGAAUUUCAUUAGCUGCAGUUUAUUUGGGUUUUGGUGUGCUGUGGUGUUUUUUAAAUCUCAAAUGCAUCCCGGCUCACUGGGGAUUCCUUUGGCUUGCCUCAUUAAUCAGCUCCCCUGGUCAUCAGUACGUCUUGCCUCAGGCUCACAGGUCUGGUUUUUGUAUAAUACACAUUUCCCAGUAAAUUACAGACGCCUGUGGAUUGACGUCAUCCAAAAAGAAGGCGACCGUUUUCCCUCCUUCCAAACAGA
rnacentral:lncRNA from 1 species